ACAGGUCCCCUGAUAUCACGUUUGCAAUGGAACCAUUCCAUAUCGCAUCGUUUGAGGCGUGUGACAGCAAAGAUGAUCCAUUUUCCAGGCACUGAAAUGGCGUUUUUAAUUAUUCGGCGUCUGUGAACUGUGACUGAUUUGCAAAGAAAGACCAAUGACAGAGAUAACCCUUUGCAAAAUGAGUCAUGAAGGAAAUGGAGCAGAAUAUUUAAUACAAUGCCUGCAGGUAGGCUCUGGAUGUUUGGGCAUCGAACCCAAAGUCUUUUGGCCAGGAAUCCCAAAAUCCAGGCAUCUCUUUCCAACUUUCAUUUGUUGUGCGUUGUUUGUGUGUUUGUG
ensembl:lncRNA